CUGGGAUGAUGCUUCUUUAGCCAAAUCAGACAUUUAAGUCAUCCUUUUCAAAGAUAUAUGUAGGACGGGGUACCUUUUGUUGAAGUGCAUCCUCUGAUGACCCUCGGUUCGGUUUCAUGUCUGACCAGU